GCCGGGCGCGAUGGUGCGUGCCUGCAGUCCCAGCUACUCCGGAGGCUGAGGUGGGAGGAUCGCUUUAGCCCAGGAAUUCUGGGUUGUAGUGCGCUAUGCGUAUCGGGUGUCCGCACUAAGUUCGGCAUCAAUAUGGUGACCUCCUGGGAGCAGGGGACCACCAGGUUUCCUAAGGAGGGGUGAGCCGGCCCAGAUCGGAAACAGCAAGUCAAAACUCCGGUGUUGAUCGGUAGUAGGAUGGUGCCUGUGAAUAUCCACUGCACUCCAGCCUGGGCAACAUAGCGAGACCUGGUCUCUA
rnacentral:SRP_RNA from 1 species